rnacentral:tRNA from 1 species
GCAGUGGUGGUUCAGUGGCAGAAUUCUCCGCUUCCACGCAGGAGACCUGGGUUCAAUUCCCAGCCAGUGAA